GCUGGAGUAUUUUAAGAGUUUACGUGUCAGGAAGAGUCUGUUACUUUUAAAGUUAACUUAAUUGUCCUUUUAGACUUUUUUUAAAGUUAACUUAAUUGUCCUUUUAUUUUUGGAUCAAGUCCUAUGCCAGGGAUUUUAACUGCACUUUGAAUGUGUUACCAAGGUUAUGGUGACCCUUGGAUGCUAUUUUUGGAAGAAAGACGAAUGGUGACAGACUGCAAAAUCAAUACUCAAGAGCCUGAGGAGCCUCUGGAUUUUGACUUCUGCAGCACCAAUGUUAUUAAUAAAAUUAUUCUGCAGUCAGAGGGGCUCUGAAGCAUUUCCCAGAUUGGAUGUGACGACUGAGGUCCUACAGAUUAUCAUGUCUCCUGACAAGCAUUAUUUCAGGUUAUCUACUUUUGAAAAUUUAGAAAGUUUGCAAUUUGACUUCCAAAGAUUUUUAUGUGGUGCAAGCAUUUCAUUGUAAUCAGACCCAGGUCAACAGAUUUUAUUUCUUUGCUAAUCCCCUUUACAAAAACGUUAGUCCUAUCUUGUAAGGUAUUUUAUUCACACAAAUAACAGGAUUUCUUUCAUUAUGGUAUAUUUUUAGAAUGAAGGGGGGCAAAUAUCUUUUGUGGAAUAUUACUGUUGCCCUGAUGAUGAAGUUCCUGAAUCUGAGUCUUG
rnacentral:lncRNA from 1 species